rnacentral:RNase_P_RNA from 1 species
AGCUGGUAUCUGGUGGCAGCUCAGCUCCUCUUGUGUCUUCGUGCUUCCCUGGCACUGAGUGCACAAGAGGGGCUGAGAGGAAAGUCCGAACACGCACGCCACACCUCGCGAGGUGCGGCGUAGGACGGUAGCGGGUAACGCCCGCUGGGAGUGAUCCUUAGGAUGCGAGCAGAGACGCCUGGCUGCGAGAGCAGCAGGCAUCCGCCUGUCGGCGGAUGAGUCCGCGCGGCAACGCGCGGGGUGAAACGGCUAAACUCCUACCUGCGUGCAAGGCCGUGCCCUGGUGAACCGCGCUUCGCGCGACGGAUCUUUGAUCCCUUGUUCACGGGGAGUGCCGCGUGAGGCGGUCGGUAACGAUCGUCCCAGAUACAUUGCCACCCCCUGCCCCGCAGGGACAGAAUUCGGCUUACCGAUGCCAGCGACAC